CGGACGGGUGAGUAACGCGUGGGUAACCUGCCUCAUACAGGGGGAUAACAGUUAGAAAUGACUGCUAAUACCGCAUAAGCGCACGGAAUCGCAUGGUUUUGUGUGAAAAACUUUGGUGGUAUGAGAUGGACCCGCGUCUGAUUAGCUGGUUGGUGAGGUAACGGCCCACCAAGGCGACGAUCAGUAGCCGGCCUGAGAGGGUGAACGGCCACAUUGGGACUGAGACACAGCCCAAACUCCUACGGGAGGCAGCAG
rnacentral:rRNA from 1 species